rnacentral:rRNA from 1 species
AUACGGAGGGAGCAAGCGUUAUCCGGAAUCACUGGGCGUAAAGGACGCGUAGGCGGGUUUGUAAGUCAGGUGUGAAAUCCUACAGCUCAACUGUAGAACUGCACUUGAAACUACAGACCUAGAGUAUGGAAGGGGCAGAUGGAAUUAGUGGUGUAGGGGUAAAAUCCGUAGAUAUCACUAGGAAUACCGAAAGCGAAGGCGAUCUGCUGGGACAUUACUGACGCUGAGGCGUGAAAGCGUGGGGAGCAAACAGGAUUAGAAACCCUAGUAGUCC